AGUGAACGCUGGCGGUAGGCCUAACACAUGCAAGUCGAACGGCAGCACAGUAAGAGCUUGCUCUUACGGGUGGCGAGUGGCGGACGGGUGAGGAAUACAUCGGAAUCUACUUUUUCGUGGGGGAUAACGUAGGGAAACUUACGCUAAUACAGCAUACGAUCUACGGGUGAAUGCAGGGGAUCUUCGGACCUUGCGCGAUUGAAUGAGCCGAUGUCGGAUUAGCUAGUUGGCGGGGUAAAGGCCCACCAAGGCGACGAUCCGUAGCUGGUCUGAGAGGAUGAUCAGCCACACUGGAACUGAGACACGGUCCAGACUCCUACGGGAGGCAGCAGUGGGGAAUAUUGGACAAUGGGCGCAAGCCUGAUCCAGCCAUACCGCGUGGGUGAAGAAGGCCUUCGGGUUGUAAAGCCCUUUUGUUGGGAAAGAAAAGCAGCAGGUUAAUACCCCGCUGUUCUGACGGUACCCAAAGAAUAAGCACCGGCUAACUUCGUG
rnacentral:rRNA from 1 species